CAAUAGCGUAUAUUAAUGUUGUUGCAGUUAAAAAGCUCGUAGUUGAAUUUCUGAUGAAAGCGUCCGGUCCGUGCUUAAUAGCAUGUGUUACUGGUGAUGUCUUUUAUCAUCUUUGUAAAGAAUGACUCUGGCAUUAAGUUGUCUGGGGUUCAGGACUUACAUCAUUUACUGUGAAAAAUUAGAGUGUUUAAAGCAGGCAAUUGCUGUGAAUACAUUAGCAUGGAAUAAUAAGAUAGGACUUUGGUACUAUUUUGUUGGUUUGCAUACCAAGGUAAUGAUUAACAGGGACAGUUGGGGGUAUUCGUAUUUCGAUGUCAGAGGUGAAAUUCUUGGAUUUUCGAAAGACGAACUACUGCGAAAGCAUUUACCAAGGAUGUUUUCAUUAAUCAAGAACGAAAGUUAGGGGAUCGAAGAUGAUUAGAUACCGU
rnacentral:rRNA from 1 species